AACAUGGCUAGAUAGUAGACUAGUAUAAAGAUCUACUGGCUGGAGUCCAGCCCUUCGUCUGUUCUAGAUCAACUGGCUGUGUCAGUGAAAGAAAUUUCUUACACCGAAAAUUGUGUUAUCGACUGAGUUAUUCUUUGGCCUAGAGGUGGAAAGUCUUGCAGUUUGCUAAGUGGAGAUGGUAGCGGUGCUUGCUGAGUGAGAGUCCACGCUACGUAUGGUGCCAUUGGUGGUGUAACCAUGGCUACGGAGAGUCUCAGCAAGGAAGAGUACCUGCUCCGCCUUGUAAAGAGUAACAAUCAUGAAGAAUUGAGGAAGGAAAUCCUUCACGAGGACAUCACAUUGAAGGAGGCUAUAGCAAACUUGACAUACACCAACGAAGAGGGAGAGAAGGAACCAUUAGUGGGUCGGUUGCUAUUCAAUGCCUGCGAUGAUGGCCGGCUGGAGUGCGCCUACAUCCUUGCGGACUGUUGCGGAGAAACAGUGAUCAACCAGUUUUAUCGCUAUACGAAAGCAUAUGUAGGUGUAUGUGCAUGAGUGCUUGGAUAUGCAUUGCUGACACUGCCCCAGUUACCAAGCACACUGCUCUGUAAUAGGUGAUUCACACGACAGCCACACGUUUUACAGCGAGUGAUUCACGAGGAAAGUGACUGUGUGGAUUCACAUGGCUGCACUCAACGACAGGCACUCAACGAUAGUCACGUUUGCAUAUUUGAAUGAUUCAUCCACCAGCUGCCAUGACUAUUUCAAAUUUUCAAAACAUACGUACAAUAAUUAUGACGGUGAAAAGAGCCGCAUAAAAAAUCGAGUCUUGUUUCACGUUUUUUGGUGUAAAUGUACUCGUGCACGCCACGAUUAUGUGAAAGUAGGCCCCCAGCUCGCUUGCACAUUUCAGCCACUUUUCUCAUUCACAGGUGAAAUACCAUAGCAACGUUCCGGUGCACGUGGAUUUGCCUGUCGUGUGAAUCGCCUAUAACUUACACUGACUGGCUUUAGAUGUGAAAGUCGAAGUGGUUGCAUGCAUGUGAAAUCUGUGCAUGUGAUUACUUCU